rnacentral:tRNA from 1 species
GGCCACGUGGCGAAGCUGGUUAACGCGACAGUCUGCAAAACUGUUAUGCGUGGGUUCGAACCCCACCGUGGCCUCCA